rnacentral:rRNA from 1 species
UACGAAGGGGGCUAGCGUUGCUCGGAAUGACUGGGCGUAAAGGGCGCGUAGGCGGCAUGUACAGUCAGGCGUGAAAUUCCCGGGCUCAACCUGGGGACUGCGUUUGAUACGUGCAGGCUAGAGUGGGGAAGAGGGUCGUGGAAUUCCCGGUGUAGCGGUGAAAUGCGUAGAGAUCGGGAGGAACAUCAGUGGCGAAGGCGGCCAUCUGGGACAACACUGACGCUGAAGCACGAAAGCGUGGGGAGCAAACAGG